CCCGGCGUCGAGCGGGAUCACGCCGUUGGCGGUGGCGUGCGCGAGCACCGCCUUCAGCGCCUCGGGGUUCGGCGUCGUCGUGCCGGGC
rnacentral:tRNA from 1 species